AGAGUUUGAUCCUGGCUCAGAUCGAACGCUGGCGGCGUGGCUAAAACAUGCAAGUCGCACGCAAGGCAUCCGCAAGGGUGCCGAGAGUGGCGGAAGGGCGAGGAAUCCAAGGGCAACGUACCCCAGGCACAGGGAUAGCCCGGAGAAAUCCGGGGUAAUACCUGAUGAGACCACGACGGCAUAAGCCGUUGCGGUCAAUGGGCGGGGACCCCUUCGGGGGCCUGCCGGCCUGGGAGCGGCCCAUGUCCUAUCAGCUAGUUGGUGAGGUAAUGGCCCACCAAGGCUAUGACGGGUACCGGGACUGAGAGGUUGGCCCGGCGCAUUGGGACUGAGACACUGCCCAGACUCCUACGGGAGGCUGCAGUAACGAAUCUUCCACAAUGGACGAAAGUCAGAUGGAGCGACGCCGCGUGCAGGAUGAAUCCCCUCGGGGUGUAAACUGCGAUCCAGGGAAUGCCAAGCAACUGCGCCUAACAUGCGCGGAAGUGAGGA
rnacentral:rRNA from 1 species